AAUGAACGCUGGCGGCAUGGAUUAGGCAUGCAAGUCGAACGGUAACAGAGAAGCUUGCUUCUGCUGACGAGUGGCGAAAGGGUGAGUAACGCGUGAGUAAUUUACCUCUAGAUUGGGAAUAGCCCUGCGAAAGUGGGAUUAAUACCGAAUGUGGCGAUUUUUUUAUGAAAAGUUUGCUAAAGGAAUCUUCGGAUUUCGUCUAGAGAUGAGCUCGCGUCCUAUUAGCUUGUUGGUAAGGUAAUGGCUUACCAAGGCAACGACAGGUAGGUGAACUGAGAGGUUGAUCACCCACACUGGGACUGAGAACUGCCCAG
rnacentral:rRNA from 1 species